rnacentral:rRNA from 1 species
GAUGAACGCUGGCGGCGUGCUUAACACAUGCAAGUCGAACGAAGCACUUUAUUUGAUUUCCUUCGGGACUGAUUAUUUUGUGACUGAGUGGCGGACGGGUGAGUAACGCGUGGGUAACCUGCCUUGUACAGGGGGAUAACAGUUGGAAACGGCUGCUAAUACCGCAUAAGCGCACGGCAUCGCAUGAUGCAGUGUGAAAAACUCCGGUGGUAUAAGAUGGACCCGCGUUGGAUUAGCUAGUUGGUGAGGUAACGGCCCACCAAGGCGACGAUCCAUAGCCGACCUGAGAGGGUGACCGGCCACAUUGGGACUGAGACACGGCCCAAACUCCUACGGGAGGCAGCAGUGGGGAAUAUUGCACAAUGGGCGAAAGCCUGAUGCAGCGACGCCGCGUGAGCGAAGAUGUAUUUCGGUAUGUAAAGCUCUAUCAGCAGGGAAGAUAAUGACGGUACCUGACUAAGAAGCACCGGCUAAAUACGUGCCAGCAGCCGCGGUAAUACGUAUGGUGCAAGCGUUAUCCGGAUUUACUGGGUGUAAAGGGAGCGCAGGCGGUGCGGCAAGUCUGAUGUGAAAGCCCGGGGCUCAACCCCGGUACUGCAUUGGAAACUGUCGUACUAGAGUGUCGGAGGGGUAAGCGGAAUUCCUAGUGUAGCGGUGAAAUGCGUAGAUAUUAGGAGGAACACCAGUGGCGAAGGCGGCUUACUGGACGAUAACUGACGCUGAGGCUCGAAAGCGUGGGGAGCAAACAGGAUUAGAUACCCUGGUAGUCCACGCCGUAAACGAU